rnacentral:hammerhead_ribozyme from 1 species
GCGCUGCCGAGGAGUCCCACAAUAGGACGAAACGACCGUCCAGUGC